AACACGUACCUUUUUAUUUCUCCCUUCCAGUAAGGUUGGUUGUCCGAUCGUUCGAAGUAGCAGCCGUUACAGCCAGCAGCACCAAUACAGCAGCACCAAACAGCCACCAGCAGCGAGUCAGGUGUGAGAUCACUCCACACAGCGAUACAACUCGCUGACACUGAUGGCUUCUUCUUUUUCCUCGUUUGUGUCUCGUCCACUGCUGUAGCACAAUCCAGCCAGCAGCCAAAUCGGCUUACGCACCAGCUGGCAGUCACGAUGCGAAACAGUUGCACAAAGGCACGACCUUGAACCCGGAUUUAUUUCACUCGACCAGGCAAACAAUGCCAACACUUGUUCACACGUCUUUUGUUUUAUACUCUAUCGGACCGAUCACCAAACACGUCCAGUACUGAUGCGUGUUCGGCACAGAAUGGAAACUUUAUAUUGUGAGAUGAAAUUGAAGUGCAGAAGUGCUGGCAAAUGGCAAAAUAAAUAGUAGUGGAUACCAAAGAUUGUGAAGUGGCAAAAAUAAGUGUUUAUUUCGAAGGACUAUAAAUUUCUGUGGAUAGUGUCCGAACGAAAACGCUGUUGGCAAAAACGCCUUGUGAAACUAUAAUAUAACCCUAUUAGCGCGUGAGCGAUCCACGUAAGUUUGGAGGUUUGAUGAUGGAUUUAAAUUAAAGAAGAUCGAUUGCAUGAUCGAUUGAUCAGGGUGCAGAGCCUUUGGCGACACAUACUGAACAAGAAAAAAGGUAAGCCAAAAGGAGACCAUGAAUAUUUUAUGCAUUCACAGCAGCCGAAUUCAAGAUACAUAGUGUUCCGGCAUUUACCGGAAGGACUGGUUUAAUAUUUCUAUCAACACAUAAAAGCUUAUGGCGAACUAAAUGUAUUGUUGAUAAAUCCUGAGGAAAAAGCCAUCCAAUACCGACAGGAAUAGUAAACAUAUUUUCCAGGGGAAGGACAAGAAUAUGAUAUGAUCGUACCGUCAGGUUUUUUACGCUCUUUUCUGUGUUUUUUCACGAGGUUUUUACACGUAUUCUGGAAUUGACCUGUUUUUUUCACGCAGGUUUUUGAAUUACACCGAAACCCGGUUAUUGUAAAUUUUUUACGGGGAUUUUGAAAUCAACGCGGGUUUGUAACCGAAAUCGUCAGAGUUCAAUGAGUAAAAAAAGUGUUUAUUGAGUAAAAAACCUCCGCCCUCCGAAGGACUGUAAAAGAAGCCAAUUUUCAAAUACUGAUCGUAGAACGAUUCGGUUUUUUUAAUCAUUUUUUGGUGGUUUAUUUUCCGUAUUCCGCUUAAAAAAACUGACUGUAUAUGAUUUUGGGCUGCACAAUGACUUUGGUUUUACACAAACAGAGCACAAAGACUAACCCAUCUCACAGCCCAUCUAACAGAUCUGGUCUUACUGAACAAGGAGGUGAACAUCGAACAAGUGAAGGUAAAUAUUAUUGACAACUUGUAAUCUUUUCGGCUGAAAUAAGCCUGAAAGCAUACACAUUUACCAUUAACCUGUAUAACGUAGGUUUCCUCGCUCCAAUGUCUGAAAAUUUUCUCUCUUGUUUACUUUAAUAUUUAUUAUUUCGGUAGGUCAUUUUUUUCAUGAUUCACAUGAGAAGACAAAAUUUCAAAUCGAGUUUUUUUUCUCUUUUUCUUGUUCACUACGAAGAUGCUCCUGUAAUAAUCUGCAAUAUUAGGUUGGACGACUGUCAUGGAUGAGUACCUCAAGGCUGCCUAACGCCUUUUUCUACUGACAUAUUCUCUCCAUCGGCCGCUCAGACACAAGAUACAAACGAUUAAUCCUAUCGGCAGCAUGAUCUGUAACGGCAACAGCACUGGCAGCAAUAUAUUUUUCAUGCUCUUCUUACCAUUUUUAUUAAUAUUGAUACUUGAAAUAUGAUAGUCCAGAUUAAUUUCAAAUUAUUCGGUCGCAUCCCCGGAUGGAGCCAACAAAACUAAAAAAACUUAAAUUGACCAGUUUAAAAAGCAGAACUCAUAGACAUUCUCCACCGAAAACUUAGUUGAAGGGCUCAUCAACGCCCUAGAAAUAUACGGCCUUCUGACUCCUUUUCACUAAUCAGGCUAAAGGCUCGGAUGUUGUUCCUGAUAGCAUGCGAAUAAACUCAAAACUUCAGGUAGACGUCCUACUGGAUUUGUCAAAGUCUAAAUCCGCCUUGAUGUCACAUUUACGGGAUAGGGAUAAUUUUCGAUAUAUGAUAAACGCAUGCGCUGGUACUAGCAGAAGACACGAUGAAUCGUUCGAAUGACUUUUUCCCUAACCGCCAACCAAAUGGAUGUUGCUGCAAAAAUCAAAGACCGAAUUCGCAACUACAUUAAGUUUCAGAUACUGUUAUCGAUAGGACAAUCAGGAAUUCAUCAUGGAGCGUAGUAGCUUAAGUAUGCUGUUGGCACACUUGAAGGGCAACCGGGUAUUUGGAGGCCAAACGUGCUGGAUGUGGCUCACAAUAAAUCAUUCUUGUUUACAUCAGUGUAAGCUAACGGUAUUUUGCGUCGAUAAUAAUAUCUUUGUUACCGCUUACAUCCCGGUGGUGUCUCCUGCUAGACCAUAAGGGAAGGCGACAUUGUUCUGUUGGAGGAUAAUAAAAUUGAAGGCACACCUGGACCUGGAAGCGCAAAUAAGUAAAAACAAACAAGAACCUGCAACGGAACUUGUUCAGAGAGACAAAACCAAAAAAAUAACAGAAGCUGUUAGUUCGUUAUCAGGAAAACCUUUCUAGUUUUAAACUUGAACACAAUCUAGUUUUAAACUUGAUUCCGUUAGGUAUUAGAAAAAACAGAAGUUGUUUUACUAGUAUCAAAUCUAUGUCCAACUCUUACUAACGUAUCUACUUCCUAACAUAAUGAAAUAGUGUAUAAAACAGGCAGCCAUUGUUGGAAAAACAUGAUUUACUAGAAUCGAGAGUAUGGUUAAGAAAAACUUAAUUUCAGGAUUUAAUAUCCGAUCUUAUGUUUUUAUCGAAAGCAUUUGGCAAUAUACUAAAUCGAAACAGAAUAUGUUAUUCAUAUCUCAUGUAGGUUUAACGAAAAUAUUAUUGCUUGGAUUUUCGGCUCAUCAGUUUAUUCAAAUUUCUGUUCUAGUUUGUUUCUGAUAGUAAAACAUUUAAGAUUAUAAUUAAACUAGUUCUUGCACAAAAAUAAAAACUACAGUAAAUAUUUUCUAUAAUCUAGUUACUCGAAGCAUUAUUUGUAGAUCGCGCAGUGUAAGACGUUUGUUUUCAAGCUGUUCAUUAAUAGAGAAA